GCUUAGGAUGUUGACAUAAUGGCUUUAAACGACCCGUCUUGAAACACGGACCAAGGAGUCUAACAUAUGUGCGAGUGUUUGGGUGUCAAACCCGGACGCGUAAUGAAAGUGAACGUAGGAGGGAUCCGCAAGGAGCACCUUCGACCGAUCUGGAUCUUUUGUGAUGGAUUUGAGURAGAGCAUAUAUGCUGGGACCCGAAAGAUGGUGAACUAUGCCUGAAUAGGGCGAAGCCAGGGGAAACUCUGGUGGAGGCUCGUAGCGAUUCUGACGUGCAAAUCGAUCGUCAAAUUUGGGUAUAGGGGCGAAAGACUAAUCGAACUAUCUAGUAGCUGGUUCCUGC
rnacentral:rRNA from 1 species